rnacentral:lncRNA from 1 species
GGUUUCCAGUCUCUCCUUUGAAUCCAUUAUGCAGUUUUUGAAUGCUCACCUAAUCGCGUUGUUAAUCUCCCUGAAUGUACUGCUCAUCAUUUCACUCAGUAUUAGUAUUUAUUAUAUUUUGAGGAAGCCCUCCCCAAAACCAGAGAAUACUGAGUGGCAGGGAGUGUGGAGAGGUCUGGGAGAGACUUUAGACAGAUGGAAAUCUUCGGUGUCAUGGAACUUUACUCCUGAACACCUGAAAGACCCUGAGAGCUUAAACAGAUAUUUGAGACAGGAAUGUUGCGGCUCAGGCAGAUCUGAGGAGGCACAAAUGAUUUGGGGCCUGGCUAAUGCUUAUCGGGCCUUAUUCAAUAGCAUCCCAGAGAGAGAGAGAGACUGUCUGAGAGCUGAAAGGGAGAGUCUCAGGGAAAAAGUACAAAGUGAGCAAGAAAGUCUCCUGGUCGAGAGAAAAGACCUCCAAUCUGAGAGAGAUGCCCUCCGAAUCGAAAGAGACUCCCUGCAAUCCAAGCUCAACAUUCUUCAAUCCCAGCAAGACAUCCUUAAGUCCGAAUGGCACGUCCUCCAAACUGAGCGAGACACCCUCCAAUCUGAGCUAGAUACUCUCAUAAUCGAACGAGACAGACUCCAAGCUGAGCUGGAGGAUGAGAGCAUUGAGACUGACCAACCUGAUCAACCACAGGAGGCACCACAACUGAUGUCAGUUGCCCCUGUAAGAGGACGGAAAACAAAACGAAUCUCAACUCAGUUAGAAGAGAAGAAAGAGGAGCAAAGAGGUCCAGAGGAGUGGCUCCGAGAUCUAGGAGAAGCACCCCCAAGUCCAGGAGAGGGACCCUCAGUAAGGCCACGGUCACCAACGCCUAUAAGGGCACCAAGAAGUCCUGAAAGAGUAAGAGGCGAGCAAGAUAUUGUUACCAUUGUUGAUCGAUCUCUGAAAAUGAAUGAAAUUCGAAGUCUAAGAAAAGACUUUUCACGUCACCCAAAUGAGCCUAUUGCCACCUGGUUACUUCGAUGCUGGGACAAUGGGGCCAACAGUGUGUGGCUAGAUAGUAGAGAAGCUCGCCAGCUGGGUGGCAUUGCUAGGGACUCAGCCAUUGACAGAGGCAUUAGUACAUGCCAGAACCAGGCCUUUACCCUCUGGAAGCGGAUGUUGUUAGCUGUAAAAGAAAGAUACCCCUUCAAAGACGAUCUGAUGCCUGAGAAAAAGAAAUGGGCUGAUAUGGAAGAAGGCAUCCGUUAUCUAAGAGAAUAUGCUGUGGUGGAAGCGCUACAUAGCCCUGAUUUCAUUCCUGAUGAGCCAGACCAAGAGCAUGAUCCUGAGAGAGUCAGGUGUACACCAAAUAUGUGGCGUAUAUUCACAAAGACUGCACCAGAAAGGUACGCCAGUACAUUUGCAGCAAUGUAUGGCAGAGGAGAAAGAAGACCCCUUAUAAAUGAAUUAGUUAAUAAACUUCAAGACUUUGAGUUACAUUUAAGCCCUCUACGAGCUUGUGUUUCAGCCAUUGCAAAAGUAGCUGAAAAGCUGGACAGAAUGGAAAACAAACAAGAAGAUAUAAUAGACAAACUAUCAAUAGUGCCUGAUGCUGAUGAAUCCAUGGUGGUAACAGAUACAUCCAGUGGGGAACAGAACUCCCAAAACAGCCUACUGGAGGGGCUGAUCAACUUGAUUUCCUCCCAGCCAGUGUCAUCCAAUGUCUCAGCUAUCAAAAGAAGACGUCCUCCUGCUCGAGCAAGUGACAACAGUAAGACUACAUCACGUUUUU